UGUGUGUGUGUGUGUGUGUGUGUGUGUGUCAGGACUGAGACGGCGAGAGACAGGCAGACAGACACAGAGAGGAACCGUUCCACCCCGUUCAGCAGCAACUGCUCGGCCUGUCUACAUGAGGUUUCUUCUCGAAUAUGGAGGCUUUUCGCUCUCUUGAUUUUGUUUUCCUACUCUCCAGUCACCACAGAUUCAUGCUGCCGAACUUUUGGCCACAUUUUUAGGCUGAAGGUAAAAGGAGCACAGGCUCGGCGGAGACAGAUGAGAGCUUUGUUAGUAGUUUUGCAGAAGGUGAGGAUGAUGACAACGAUGAUGGCGUUCACCGCGUCUGCGGGGCUAUUUAAGGAAACCUUCGCAUCGCCGCCUCGCCACACUCCUGCUGGCUUCUCUUCAAACGUUAUUUGAACCUCCACGUCGACAUGGGUGGUAACACGCCUUGGCAUGGUGUUGCUCCGCAAGGGCCAAGAAAAACACGGAAGCACACAAACACACACACACAGGAUUGUGAUACUCACAGCACGCAGCUAUAUCUAGCUCGUCUUUCUGGGGGACAGUUAGCGUUACAAAGUUAGCAUUUUCCCAUUGUUUUAACCAUCUGUCGACAGCUGAGAUGGACAUAUACAACACUUGACAGGUCUGACAUCAUAGCAGGCUUGCAAAAAACACAAAAUGCAUGUUUCGAUUUGAAUUGCAGACAUUUAAAAUGUAUGUGGUUUGGACGGGAAUCAGCAGGCGAGGGACAAGCAAGCAUGUCUGUGAUUUUCCACUUGUUUGAGUCCAACUGCAGCGACAAAGAGGAUACAAAAAAUAAACUGGGUAGCUUGAUUUUGGUUAAUCAUACGUUGAUUUUCUAUGAAAAGUCAAAUAGCUGCCACCAAUCAAACAAACGGCUUCCUGGUGCCCACGGUGAACAUUCAACGCUGUCGGUGAGUUUGAGCUCUAAACAAAACCAUUGACCGUUGACUGUACCCUGAGGGACGCCACAGCACACAACCCCCAGCUUAUUGCAAGCCUGGUGGCCCACCAGGCCUAAGUUGCCCCCCACUGGGCCUAGGCCACUGGGAAUUAUUUUUUUUAAUGUAUUUUUAAGACAUUUUUAAACUACAGUUACAGUGGGGAACUUGGUUGGAAACAGACAUAGUAUUUUCAAAUCUCCAGUUAGCUUUCAGCACAGGCUCUACAUUAAUGCUGCCAUCAGCCUGUGACUGGCCCGAGCCGGGCCCUCAUAAAAAAUAAAAAAAAAGUCACCACACACGGGAAACCGUGUUAACAUAAAUCUCUGGAAACCAUACGUUGUGAGAUAUUUCAGUUCUGCUCUCAUGCAGAGCAAAAAGCAGAACCACAAUCUGUGGGCGGACUACGGCUCAUGCCUGUGACCUUCAGUUGGCUGGAAUCGCCCCGACUCCUUUCAGCAGAGACCAGAUCAGCGGUGACGCUGAGGAGGCGUUCACUCUUAAGGCUGCAAUAAACAUUCAUUGCUGUCGGUGGGUUUACAUGAGAAUAACUCACUGAUCAAUGAAUGCAGACUGCGGUUCAAACACCUCAAUAACCAGUUGGCCGCUGGGUUGGACGCGGGCAAUGCAUGUGUACCCUAAGUCUUGAUACAACAUGCUAACGGUAAUGUGACAAACUAAGGUCAAGUUUUCCAUGGACACUGGCCUAGGCUGGUAAAUAAGCAUAUUGUGUGCAGUGUACUGGUGUCAUCAUACAGGAUAUCUUAGCAUAUUCAAAUUUAUUUGUAAUAUUUACCACCAGUUUACAGUGUUGCCUUGGUUUUUGAAGGGUAAGUUCAUCAAAAUGAGAUAAAAAAAAUAGUUUCUCACUUGCCAACAGUGCUAUCAAGAAACGUGGUUAGUUUUGGGUUUAUUAUUUAUUUUGGUUUUUGUUCCAAUAUAAUAAAAGUGAAUGGCUUUUCAUUUGUGGUGCUCACACCAUUGAAACGUGGAUAUUUGAAAAACUCAAUAGCAACAUCUCAUUCCAGAAAUUCUGUCUCCCUGAUAACCUAAAAAACUGUCAACAGUUUUCAUAGGGACUAUUUCUUCAGUAGAAAGUAGUUCCAAAGGAAACUGUUCAGUGAGGUCUGUAGACUAUCCAGAGUAACAAGGACACUUGUCUCUGGGAGAGAUGUUGUUGAUGAUUUUUAUAAAUGACAUUUUUCGAUGCUGUGAGCAACACAAACAAGAUAGAUUCACCUCCACUGUAUUAGUGUAGAGGCAGAAAUCUCACAGUCUGACAACCCAAAA